rnacentral:rRNA from 1 species
GAUGAACGCUGGCGGCGUGCCUAAUACAUGCAAGUCGAGCGAACAGACGAGGAGCUUGCUCCUCUGACGUUAGCGGCGGACGGGUGAGUAACACGUGGAUAACCUACCUAUAAGACUGGGAUAACUUCGGGAAACCGGAGCUAAUACCGGAUAAUAUAUUGAACCGCAUGGUUCAAUAGUGAAAGACGGUUUUGCUGUCACUUAUAGAUGGAUCCGCGCCGCAUUAGCUAGUUGGUAAGGUAACGGCUUACCAAGGCAACGAUGCGUAGCCGACCUGAGAGGGGGGAGGGCAAGAGGGGAAGAGAGAAAGGGGAGAGAAAAGGAGGGGAGGAAGAAGGAGGGAAGAGUGAGAAAGGGGCGAAAGUAGGACGGAGAAAAGAAGAGGGAGGGAGGAAGGUGUAAGGAGAGGAGAACGAGGGUAUGAGGGAAGAACAAAAGGGUAAGGAACUAGGCAGGGCGGGAGGGGAAAUAAUAAGAAAGACAGGGCUAAAGAAGGG